rnacentral:rRNA from 1 species
GCGUAGGCGGAUAUCUAAGUCAGAUGUGAAAUACCCGGGCUUAACUUGGGUGCUGCAUUUGAAACUGGAUGUCUAGAGUGCGGGAGAGGAAAGUGGAAUUCCUAGUGUAGCGGUGAAAUGCGUAGAGAUUAGGAAGAACACCAGUGGCGAAGGCGACUUUCUGGACCGUAACUGACGCUGAGGCAUGAAAGCGUGGGUAGCAAACAGGAUUAGAUACCCUGGUAGUCCACGCUGUAAACGAUGGGUACUAGGUGUGGGAGGUAUCGACUCCUUCCGUGCCGGCGUUAACACAAUAAGUACCCCGCCUGGGGAGUACGAUCGCAAGAUUAAAACUCAAAGGAAUUGACGGGGGCCCGCACAAGCAGCGGAGCAUGUGGUUUAAUUCGAAGCAACGCGAAGAACCUUACCUGGACUUGACAUCGUCUGAAUAUCUAAGAGAUUAGAGAAGCCCUUCGGGGUAGAUAGACAGGUGGUGCAUGGUUGUCGUCAGCUCGUGUCGUGAGAUGUUAGGUUAAGUCCUGCAACGAGCGCAACCCUUAUUGUUAGUUGCUACCAUUAAGUUGAGCACUCUAACGAGACUGCCCGGGUUAACCGGGAGGAAGGUGGGGAUGACGUC